rnacentral:rRNA from 1 species
UACGUAGGGGGCUAGCGUUGUCCGGAUUUAUUGGGCGUAAAGAGCGUGUAGGCGGCCAGGUAGGUCUGCUGUGAAAACUCGAGGCUCAACCUCGGGACGUCGGCGGAAACCAUUUGGCUAGAGUCCGGAAGAGGAGAGUGGAAUUCCUGGUGUAGCGGUGAAAUGCGCAGAUAUCAGGAGGAACACCGAUGGCGAAGGCAGCUCGCUGGGACGGUACUGACGCUGAGGCGCGAAAGCUAGGGGAGCAAACGGG